GAAAUUUGACAUGUGAUAGGUGGAUAUAUGGUCUUUGCAUGGACUGUCUCGUGUGAUGCUUUCUUGGAUGAGACCAAGGCUCAUCUAGUCCAGCCCUUUAGAGGAAAUGCCAUUGACUCAUGGAGUGUCUGAAGACUGUAGGAAUACUGACACCAUUUCCAUAUCGUGUUCCAUAGAAUCCAAAGCGUGAGAUUAAGAAAGUCAUACAUUUCUUGGGAAAGGACCUGGCAGAACAAGCUGUGGAUCAGAUUGUCUACAACACCUCCUUUGACAAGAUGAAGGACAAUCCUGCUACAAAUUAUAAGAUGGUUCCAACUGAAGUGAUGGAUCACAGAAUCUCCCCAUUCAUGCGCAAAGGAACUGCUGGUGACUGGAAAAAUUACUUUACUGUGGCUCAGAAUGAGGCAUUUGAUGAAGAUUAUAAGAUGCAAAUGUCAGAUACAACACUGCAAUUCAGAACAGAAGUCUGAAGCUCCCUGUAGCUACGACAGAGUUGCCACUGUUCUCCAGUUUUAAUACAAAGUCCAUCAUUUAGUAAAGACAUUGGACUCUUGAGAGUCUCUGCUUUUAAUUAGAGGGGGAAAAAAGUUCCUCAUAUGAAUGAUUGUGGAAUACAUAUAUAAGACAGUACAAAUGAUACAGUUAUGUAGUACUAAUUAAGAUGAUAAAACUGUAUGUAAUUUACAGAUAUUGUAUGUACAUAAAGUACAGAUUUUAAAGUGAA